rnacentral:misc_RNA from 1 species
CGAGUGCUCGGCCUAAACCCCUAACCAUUGUGAAACCGAUUACCCAAGCGUGCUUAGGCUGGGUGGCAGGGCAACCAGGCGAGACGGCCUCUCUCGGGGCCGGCAAGCGUCAGAGGACGAACCUGCUAAUUACUGGCCUCUCUGAGUACUUAUAAAUAAGUCA